rnacentral:rRNA from 1 species
UAUUGUUAUUGCCCGGGAAGUCCCGGUCCUUGCAUUGGAGAAGGCGCUUAGGCAAAUCCGGGCGCGGAAUUCAAGGGUGUGAGGCGAGCGGCUUAGGCCGCGAAGCAAUCGGAAGUGGUUCCAAGAAAAGCCUCUAAGCUUCAGUCUAACAAGACCGUACCGCAAACCGACACAGGUGGGCGAGAUGAGUAUUCUAAGGCGCUUGAGAGAACUCGGGAGAAGGAACUCGGCAAAUUGGUGCCGUAACUUCGGGAUAAGGUACGCCCUUGUAGCUUGACUGGCCUGCGCCAGGAGGGUGAGAGGGUUGCAAUAAACUGGUGGCUGCGACUGUUUAAUAAAAACACAGCACUCUGCAAACACGAAAGUGGACGUAUAGGGUGUGACUCCUGCCCGGUGCCGGAAGAUUAAAUGAUGGGGUGCAAGCUCUUGAUUGAAGUCCCGGUAAACGGCGGCCGUAACAAUAACGGUCCUAAGGUAGCGAAAUUCCUUGUCGGGUAAGUUCCGACCUGCACGUAUGGCGUAACGAUGGCCACACUGUCUCCUCCCGAGACUCAGCGAAGUUGAAGUGUUUGUGAUGAUGCAAUCUCCCCGCGGCUAGACGGAAAGACCCCAUGAACCUUUACUGUAGCUUUGCAUUGGACUUUGAACCGAUCUGUGUAGGAUAGGUGGGAGGCUAUGAAACCGGAACGCUAGUUUCGGUGGAGCCGUCCUUGAAAUACCACCCUGGUUUGUUUGAGGUUCUAACCUUGGUCCGUUAUCCGGACUGGGGACAGUGCAUGGUAGGCAGUUUGACUGGGGCGGUCUCCUCCCAAAGUGUAACGGAGGAGUACGAAGGUACGCUAGGUACGGUCGGAAAUCGUGCUGAUAGUGCAAUGGCAUAAGCGUGCUUAACUGCGAGACCGACAAGUCGAGCAGGUGCGAAAGCAGGUCAUAGUGAUCCGGUGGUUCUGUAUGGAAGGGCCAUCGCUCAACGGAUAAAAGGUACUCUGGGGAUAACAGGCUGAUACCGCCCAAGAGUUCAUAUCGACGGCGGUGUUUGGCACCUCGAUGUCGGCUCAUCUCAUCCUGGGGCUGUAGCCGGUCCCAAGGGUAUGGCUGUUCGCCAUUUAAAGAGGUACGUGAGCUGGGUUUAAAACGUCGUGAGACAGUUUGGUCCCUAUCUGCCGUGGGCGUUGGAUAUUUGAAGGGGGCUGCUCCUAGUACGAGAGGACCGGAGUGGACGAACCUCUGGUGUACCGGUUGUCACGCCAGUGGCAUCGCCGGGUAGCUAUGUUCGGAAGAGAUAACCGCUGAAAGCAUCUAAGCGGGAAACUCGCCUUAAGAUGAGAUAUCCCCGGGGACUUGAUCCCCUUGAAGGGUCGUUCUAGACCAGGACGUUGAUAGGUCAGGUGUGGAAGUUG